rnacentral:lncRNA from 1 species
UGCCAAAAGAAAGGGCGUUGGAUACAAGUCUGCCCAAAGAGCCUGAAGAGUCCAGAAGAUGGGAGAGUCAAAGAGUAUGGCUGCGCUUCAGGUAAAAUCCACUAUCUAACUCCAUUAAGUUCCUAUUCAUUAAUUCUUAAUACAUAAUGUAAUAAGAUUGCAUUUGAAUGUUUUACAGGAUCGGUGAAAAGAAAGGAAGCUUGGUGAAAGAGCAAGAUGAAUCUAAUCACAAGGAAUGGAUCUUGAUCGCAUGGACUUGAAGAUUAGAUUUUGAGCUUAGAUAGUUAUGAUAGAGUUGUUAGAAAUUUUCUUUUGAAAUACAUAGUUUUCAAUGGAUUUUGCAUUGUAAGGACAAAUGUUUUCCGCUGCUUUUAUAAAUAAAAUAAAUUUUCGUUUGACUUAUUUAUUUAUUUGUUUAUUUCCUUGCAAUGAAAUCGUUAUGAAAAUUAGUGUUUGCAUACUUCUACAACAAAAUGAUUUGGUUCUUAUUUUAUUAUGGAAAGUCAAGAAUUUACCAAAUAGGGAGAGUUUCUCAUCGCCCAAGUUUCAAUUGGACAGAAACUUGGAAUCAUGCAACGUGGAUGCACGAUGAAUGAGAAAUUUCGUAUUUGGAAAUUAGACUAAUUCAUUGACAAAGUGUCAAGUGAAGGACUAGGAGAUCGAAUACACAAAGGCGUGUUGAUCAAGUCAACCAUAAGAGUAACAAUGAUAUUCGUCAUGAUUUACUAAAGGUUUAGUAAAUAUGAUUAUAAUUACAAGAUUAAGUGUAAUUUUGAAUUGAUUAAAGGGUUUAGAUCAAUAGCAGAACGAAUAAGAAGAAUCAAGUAGGCAGAAAGAUAAAAGUUUCUCCAUUCUAAGAAGAAGGGAGAGUACCUUUUAUGCUUUAUGAUAGGUCUUAAUGAUUAAGAACCAUAUCUCAAUUGAUCCUCUAAGUGAGUCUUAGUACAAUUGUAUGUCUAAGAAGAGGAAUCAAGAAUUGAAGAAAUGGUUAAAUCAAGAAGUCAAUCAUACUUCGUUCCAAAACAAGUCUUAAAGUUAAGAUUGUGACAUUGAGUGAAAAGUAUUAAGAAGGUUUAUAACAUUCAUCAAAUGUGGAAAGUUGUGAUGUCUUGGAUAAGACAAAGACCAACUAGGACCAAUUUAUGAAGUGUUUUGAUAAAAGCUACACUAACUCUUGAAUAUUUGUUUGUCAAGAAAUGUUUUUUGACAAGAGAAUCUUAUAUGUCAAGGAGUCAGUGGGAGUCUUAAUGGUCUUGAAAGGUUUCAAGAACAAAUCAAAUAAACCUUAUCGAUCAUCACUAGCACACGAGUUGAGGUUUACAACCUAUCGUGUUGACAUUAUUUUGUUUCUGUGCCAAUCCAAUCGAGUUAAUUAUGCAUGUGAGUUCUAUGAGUUCUCAUUUUGAACGCAUAAAAGGCAAAGCACCUUAAUCAAUGAAAGGUACAUUGAUAGGAAAGGGUGAGCUGCUUAACUACUUGGAAGACAUGGUGGGCAGCUGUGCUACCAUAAGGCAAGAAAUCAAGAUUAAGAAAGUUCGGUCCAUAUGAGUUUGAAUUUGUCGUAAACUUUGGUUUUAACAAAUUCACAUGGAUAGGAACACAUACACCGUUUAAAUCUAAGUGUCAUAAGAUUUCCUCCUUCAUGAAAAUGAUUGUGAGGAAAUGCUUUCACUAAGAAAGAUUUUAAGAAGAUAGUGAUUGUAAAAUUGCAUUCUCGAAUUCGAUUAUGGUUACGGUAUCCCUUUCCAUAAUUUGAAUUGUGAGGUUUGGCAAUUAGUCUUAAUUGUUUAGACACACAUAUGAACUAUCGAAGGCAAAGGUGUAUAAGUUCAAGAAGCCUUGAUAAAAGAUUAUCAAAGCACUAAGUAUUAGAAACAUGAACUUAAGAAAUUCAAUAAGUAUUGUUUUUCUGAAAGUUAAGAUGUUUAUGAAUACAUGUCGAAGCUAGUGGGAGCAUAAGUGUUAUGUUUUAUAAUAAUCAUCAUGAUAGUGGGAGCAUAAAUGUUAUGAUUGUAUGAUUAUUAAGGCACGUAUUGCAAGUUGGCAAUAUUAAUUAUAGAAAACAAGAGUUAUACCUUGCAAAGUCGUAAGGGUUGUAAAGUUGUUUUGCUAUAAUUAAGGGAGAGAAUAUUAUGCUUCAUUUCAAAUCUAAAGGCUUAGGUUGAGAAAUGUUAAUAAAUUUAGUCAAGGGUACAUAGUGUGUUCUUAAAAUUUCGAUUAUGAUUACGACAUUCCUCUUCACAAUUCGAAUUUUGAGAACAUAGCAAAUAAAACAUUAUGCGUCGUGUCCCAUACGCUUCGGGUAUAGGAUCGAUUGCAAAUGCUUUAAUGUUUGACCAUUCUAAAAUUUUCCAAAUGUCGAGCGCAUUUAGAGGGAAAAGGGACUAGAAUUGGUUUUGACUAAAAUAAUUAAACAACUAUCAAAGGACAAUCCAAAGUUCGACGAGGAUUGGUCGCUUGUGAGUAGUUGGAAGUAUAGUAUUGGAAAAUAUGGAAAUGUUUCCAUAUUGGAUGGACCAUAUCGACAUUAUUAUGAAUAGAUAAGAUUCUAUUAAGAAUGAGUUGUCAUAUGGAAAAUAUGGAAGCGUGUCCAUAUUGGGAAUUGAAUAUUGAAAAAUCUAUGACUAAAUUAGAAACUUUUAUGCAAAAGGAUGUUCAAAGGAAUGUACUUUGAGUGAGAGACAUCAUAUCUAAGGAAUUGUCUUGUAACAAUCUCCGAUAGAGGACUUUGUAAUAUCAUUGGCAAUAGUCUUUGUGACUUUGGUGCAGUGACAUUACGAAAGGAUAGUUGCAUAGAAUGUUAGAAUCUAGCAUAUUCUAUAAGUAGCAAGAAUUUGAUAUUCUUUCACUUAUGAAAAACGGAUUUGGAGUUGUGAAAUGAGAAGGAUUGGAAAUGUGUUCAAUGUGAUCUAUUUCACAAAGUAAGAACCAUAGGUAAACAUUGUGUGCAUGCUAGGAGCAUGGGACAAGUGUUGGAAUUCAAGUAAGAAGUUGAUUACCCGAAACGACAAAUAAUGAGUAAUCAAUAUGGUGAUAAAUAAAAGGUGUUUUAUUUAUACUCAAAGGUUUGAGGCCAUAUGGGAUUAGUAUUAUUCUUGUGUUUCACAUUUGCAUGUUUUGACUUCCAGAAUAAUUGAGUUUAUUAAGAAUAAUCGAAUUAUUCAAACGGGCCACAGUCGUUCAUAUGUUGGAAGUAGAUAUGAAUGAAGACUGUCGUGAAUUGGUGUGUGGAUUGUCUAAAAGAGUAUUAGACAUAAGCAAAUGUUUGCUGCAACGUUCAUGAGUGCUUAUGAAUAUGAUUUGAGCAUUGGAUUAAACCCACGCUCACUUGGAUCACUCCAUGAAUUGUAUCACGAGUGAUUGGUGAGACGAUAACAUCUUAUAUUCUUGAAACCGAGAUGUGUGAGUUGUAUCUUGCAAAUCGGUUGCACAUUGAUAAUAUGUAAACGCACUAGUAACUUGGUGUUAUAAAACAUAUUGUUGUGUGUGAUUCGGUGAGUGAGUGCAAGCAAGCAUUGUAUCAAAGUUUAUCCGUUCCUUUUAUCCAAAGUAGGAUAAAAGCGAUAUCUUUGGGCCCCUCGAUGGUUUAGUGAUGACAAACGUAAAUGCUCGGCCGGGCUAGGGCUAAUUUGAUUUGUUCAAUUAGUCAGUCGUCAUAAAUCGGAAAUCGAGAUAUAGUACAAAGAGAAUGAUUUGAAAUCAUAUCUCAUAUGAUAUCUAGAAUGGAGGAAUAUAUGAUCCCUUAUCUAAGGACACGCGUAUCUGAUAUGAUCAGAGUUGACAGCGGCUUUGGAAAGCUACGAUUGCAGAUCGGGAUCCGAAGUCAUACGCAGAAUAGUUGUUAGACUUAUCCAAGUGGGAGACUGUUGGAUUAGUGUCUAAGUCCAUAACUAUUUUGGUAUGUACUUGACCCGAUGGUGCAUGGUCCUUUUGGGUUGCCUUCACCAAAGCAACUUGAUUGGAGAAAUAAAUAGAGAGAGAGGUUAUUAUGAUUUAUUAAUAUGUUAUAAGAAUAAUAUAUUAAAGGAGAAAUCAUAUUUGUUUAAUUAAUAUUGGUCAAUAAUUAAUUAAGAAUUAAUUUUGUGAUCAAGUGUAAUUAAUUAAACUAGAGGGGCUGAAUUGUAAUUAUGUGAUAGUUACAAAAUAAGGUAAGGAUUAUCUUAUAUAUAUGGUGAACGAAUUUGAGGUGUAAAUCCCUUAGAAUUCGACUAGGAUAAGGAUUUCUAGGACUUAUCUUAUGGUUGCUUGGUGGACAAGCAACUAGAUAAGGAUAAGGACUAAAACCCUAAUCUUUACACCUAUAUAAACCCCCUAAGGCUUAGGAAUUCGUCCAACCCUUCCCAAGAGGUCCUAAGGACGAAUUCUAACCUCCCUCCUCUCUCUUUAUACCUUCUCCACUUGCUUAUGGUGUUUGUAAGCCAUUAGAGGAGUGACACUUGUGACUCUCAGCUUUCCAAGGUCAAUUCAAGGAGGAAUUGGAUUGUUAUUGCUAUAUAACAAUCAAGGUAUGUUCUUAAACCUAAUUACAUGUGAAUUCUGAUUUCCAUAUGCUAGAAUUAGGGUUCAAAGUCUUGGAUUCAAAGUAUGUACAAUAGAGAAACCUAGAUCCAAGCUUUAGGGUUUGUAUGAGCACAUAGGAUGUCUUAUGACCAAAACCCAUCAGUGGUAUCAGAGCCUUGAUUGGUUUCUAUUGUAUUGAUGCUUGAUGUAACUGAAAAUCGUGUUUUGGCCUCACUGUUCGACCUGACUCGGCGAGUCACUCUUGGACUCGGCGAGUCAGCCCUACUCGGCGAGUUCCAGAGGGUGACUCGGCGAGUCGGUGCGUCAGACAGUGCUUAUCUCGGGAUUUCUUGCUGUUUUUGCAUUGGGAUAAUUACCUUAUCAUGUUAGAUUAAUAUUAAUCCGAUUAUAUGAUAUAUUUGACUAUAUUUUUAAUCUAAUUGAAGAUAUUUAUCAAUUAAUAAGAUAAUUGUUUCCUUAUAAGAUAAUUGAUUAAUUAUUUUAAGUAAAUUGAUAAAUUAUUUUGCAAGAAAUCAUCAAAUAUGGAUAAUUAUGUGAUUAAAUGUUAAUUUGAAUUAUUUGUUAUUUGAUCCUUGUUGUUGUGAAAAGUUUCAUAUUUGGCCCUUUAGGUUUUAUAGUUUAAAUUUGAACCCCAAAAGUUUUGUUGUUUUGAAAUUUAAAUAGUUGAAACCCUAAUGUUUUGAAAAAGGUUUCAAAACUUGCCCUCAAGUUUUGGAAUUUAAAUUUUGAUUAAAUAGUUUAAUUUUGAUGCAUAUUUAAAUUCUAAACCCUAAUGUGUUGAAAUGUUUCAAAACUUGCCCUCAAGUUUUGGAAUUUAAAAGUUGAUUAAAAGUUUAAUUAGGAAUGUUAAAUUCUAAAACUCUAGUAUAGUUUUGAAAAAGUUCAAAUCACACCCUUAUGGUUUUAUUAAUUAAUUAAGGUGUAUAAUUAAAAGAGGUUUAAUAAAUCCAUAAAAGUUUAGGUUUACAAUUUAAUUGAAUUAAAAGUAUAAUUGUUAAAUUAGACCACCUAGUAUUUUAAAAGUAUAAAAUACACCCUAUACUAUAUAUAACAUUAAAAGUCUAACAUUAUAUAUAUGUAUGAGUAAAAGUCAGUCUUACCGUUAGUAGGCCUCAUUCACGAAGCUGGUCUAUAAGGGGUGUUUAAGGAAAUUGCCUAUAAAAUGGCGAUUGAAUGGGUAUCCACUCUUACCCACCGCACUCUUGACUAGUGGAGGGUCGUUAGCCGAACGGGUAGGAUAGGACGAAACCUUCCAUUAUAAGUAUAAUGAAUUAUUAAAGUAACUAAAUGUUUUCAUAAAAUUCCCAAUCUUAGUUACUUAGGCAAAAGUGAAUUGAUGCAAUUCCAUGAAAUUACACUUUGUGCCCUUGCGAAGACGUUAGUGGAGCGUGUGUGGUUAACCGGCACACUAAAUGGUUCUAAGCAAAGGUAGCAAAGGGUGACUCAAUGUUUGUCAUAGUUCGGUGGAGCGUGUGUGGUUUACCGGCACAUCGAAUAGGUGACUGUAACAUGUGAGGGCACCAUGUAAGUUUGCAUGGUUAUUCACACCCGCUUUGUGAUCCUCGGCAUCCCAGUCACAAACAAGAGGGGCAUAUCGAGAUUUAAACAUGCCAUUGAAAGUUCAAUGAAUCUCAAAGGAUCUAGGAGUUUUCAUAGAUUUAAAACUUAAAUUUCUUUUUCGUUUUUCAUGGUGGAAAUUAGUGAAUCGUCAUUCACUUACCUUCAAAUAUUCUGCAAUUAGGGUUACGGCAUCCCUCUCCCGAGUUGUAGAAUAUUGUGUUGGGUCCUAGCCUUAGUAUCUCAUUUGGGUGAUUUACUAAGGACUCAAUCAAUCAACUAACUUGAAUUCGUUUUCUCCCGUUUUGUAGAUGUCAAAGUUCGACAACUAUGGUCUUCCCAAAUCCCGUGGAACAAGCAUUCCACAUGAAGAUGAUAUUCCACGAUUCGAUCGAGGAACAAGAAAUCAUGCUUCACUUCCUCCUCCUCCUCCAAUUAUUCUCCCUAACCCACAAGUUCAAAGGCUUGAAAAGUUCAAGAUCACUCAAGCCCUUUUGGCAAGUAAACAUAAAGAAGGAAAGUCGGUGUGUGCACACGUCCUAGGGAUGAAGUCACACAUUGAUAGGUUAAGAAUGUUGGGAUCCGUUGUCUGUGAGGAAAUGGCUGUUGAUUGGGUUCUUCAGUCACUUCCUAACUCAUAUAGUGAGUUCGUAAGAGAGUACUAUAUGAUGAACCGCGACGUGACCCUUAUAGAUCUCACCUAUAUGCUUAUUGCUGCUGAAUCAGCAAUGGUUUGGCGCAAUAGAAAAGCAAAGUUGAUUGGUGAAUCUGCCUUCAAGACCUCUAUGGAUAUAGACAAUGGCAACGAAAGACAUGCUAUGAUCGAAAAGUUUGAUCAUAAGAGAAAGGCAAUGUCUGAAGUAGUUCCAUGUCAUGUUCCAAAAGAGUCAAUUUGCUUUUAUUGCCAAGAGAAAGGGCAUUGGAGACGAAGCUGCCCCAUUUACCUAAGAGAUCUAAGAGAUGGGAGAGUCGAAACGUAUGGCUCUAAUAUAGGUAAAAUCCAUUAACUAACUCUUUUAAGCUUCUAUUCUAGAUUCUUAAUACAUAAUGUGAUAAGAUUACAAUUGAUGUUUUGUAGGAUCGAAGAAAAGAAAGGAAGCUUAAGGGAAGAAGUGAGCAGAAUCUAACCGUGAAGGAAUGGAUUUCGAUCGCAUUUCUCGAAGAUUAGAUUCUUGAGCUACUACUUAGAGUUAGAAUUAGAUUGCUAAGAAAGAUGUAUUAGCAUAGUUUUUCAAUGAAUUGCAUUGUAAGGACAAAUUUUUUCCGCAAUAAAAUAAAUUUUGAUUUUAUAUUAUUUAUUUAUCCUUGCAAUGGCGUAUAUGAAAAAUUGAUGUUUGAAUGUUUCUAUUAUUAGCAAUAAUGGAUUUGGUUCUUAUUAUGUUAUUUAUGGAAAGUCGAGAGUUUACCAAAUAGGGAGAGUUUCUCAUCGCCCAAGUUUCAAUUGGACAGAAACUUGGAAUCAUGCAACUUGGUUGCACGAUGAAUGAGAAAUUUCAUAUUUGGAAAUUAGACUAAUUCAUUGACAAAGUGUCAAGUGAAGGACUAGGAGAUCGAGUACACAAAGUUGCGUGUUGAUCAAGUCCACCAUAAGAGUAACAAAGAUAUUCGUCAUGAUUUACUAAAGGUUUAGUAAAUAUGAUUAUACUUAUAAGAUUAAGUGUAAUUCUGAAUUGAUUGAAAAAGUUUAAAUCAAUAGCAGAACGAAUAAGAAGAAUCAAGUAGGCAGAAAGAUAAAAGUUUCUCCAUUCUAAGAAGAAGGGAGAGUACCUUUUAUGCUUUAUGAUAGGUCUUAAUGAUUAAGAACCAUAUCUCAAUUGAUCCUCUAAGUGAGUCUUAGUACAAUUGUAUGUCUAAGAAGAGGAAUCAAGAAUUGAAGAAAUGGUUAAAUCAAGAAGUCAAUCA